GGGGCUUUAGCUCAGUGGUAGAGCGCGCGCUUCGCAUGCGUGAGGUCAUGGGAUCGAUCCCCAUAAGCUCCA
rfam:Volvox carteri f. nagariensis unplaced genomic scaffold VOLCAscaffold_10, whole genome shotgun sequence.